CGAAUCCUCAGCCACUCUCAGUCUCUUAUUCCUUCUCAGAAAAUCACUAUCUUAGUCGCUCAUUAUUCUGACCCAGAAGAUGAGUUACUUUUUCUUCUUAGCCAAUUUGCCUCUGCUCUCCUUUACCAUCACCUCCGUGUUCUUCAUCUUGCUCCAAUAUUCUUGGAUGCUACUUCGUUUCAUCUUCUGUUCCUGUCGCCAGUGGCUGAAAGGGUUUCUUUUUCCAAGAAUAAGGCAUCGUUGUAGUGGGCGUAGACGUCGUCUAAUUUUAUCUAUUUUAGUCAUCUCCUUCUCCCUUUCUCCCUUGUUCUUCUACGUCAUUUUCCCAUUAUGUUGACGCUUGUAAAAGGUAUAUUCUGAGGGCUGUUCCUUUCUUUCUAAUCAUCCAAUUUCUUAUCUACCUCAUUCUUUAUCUUCUGUUUCCCAAGGGCUUCUUGCAGAAUUUGUUCAGCCGAAGCAAACUUUCCCUCUGGCAAUACCCCCUUUCAUUUUCAUCUCAAAGAAGAGGAAGAUAUCAACGAAGCCAGAGAUUUUCUUUAAAAUGGAUGCAGAUUUUUACAUGUUACUGUAAUGCGUCGUUAUGCCUUUAAUUUCAAAUAUCAGCGUGUGAUGAUUUUAUAUUUUUUCUUGGUGAACAGAAUAUGGAUAUGCUCAAUUACUGGGCACAAUUAGUGUAAUGCCAAAAUAUAACGUGUUUCAUUUUGAAGAUUCA